AUCUUCCGCAAUGGACGAAAGUCUGACGGAGCGAUGCCGCGUGCGGGAUGAAGGCCCUUGGGUUGUAAACCGCUGUCAGGGGGGAUGAAAUCUCCGAAGGUUCUCCUUCGGAGUUGACAGAGCCCCAGAGGAAGCACGGGCUAAGUAUGUGCCAGCAGCCGCGGUAAUACAUACUGUGCGAACGUUAUUCGGAAUCACUGGGCUUAAAGGGUGCGUAGGCGGCGAUUCAAGUCAGAUGUGAAAUGCCUGAGCUCAACUGAGGCAUUGCGUUUGAAACUGGAUUGCUUGAGUAUCCCAGGGGUGUGCGGAACUGCCAGUGGAGCGGUGAAAUGUAUUGAUAUUGGCAGGAACACCGGAGGCGAAAGCGGCACACUGGGGGAUAACUGACGCUGAUGCACGAAAGCUAAGGGAGCGAACGGGAUUAGAUACCCCGGUAGUCUUAGCUGUAAACGAUGAGCACUGGGCGGGAGGAAGCUUGCUUUUUUCUGCCGUAGCGAAAGCGUUAAGUGCUCCGCCUGGGGAGUAUGGUCGCAAGGCUGAAACUCAAAGGAA
rnacentral:rRNA from 1 species